rnacentral:rRNA from 1 species
AUAGGUUAACGAGGCGAACCGGGGGAACUGAAACAUCUAAGUACCCCGAGGAAAAGAAAUCAACCGAGAUUCCCCCAGUAGCGGCGAGCGAACGGGGAGCAGCCCGGAGUCUGAAUCAGCUUGUGUGUUAGUGGAACGGUCUGGAAAGUCCGACGGUACAGGGUGAUAGUCCCGUACACGAAAACACACUUGCUGUGAACUCGAAGAGUAGGGCGGGACACGUGGUAUCCUGUCUGAAUAUGGGGGGACCAUCCUCCAAGGCUAAAUACUCCUGACUGACCGAUAGUGAACCAGUACCGUGAGGGAAAGGCGAAAAGAACCCCGGCGAGGGGAGUGAAAAAGAACCUGAAACCGUGUACGUACAAGCAGUGGGAGCCUCUUUAUGGGGUGACUGCGUACCUUUUGUAUAAUGGGUCAGCGACUUAUAUUCUGUAGCAAGGUUAACCGUAUAGGGGAGCCGAAGGGAAACCGAGUCUUAACUGGGCGUUAAGUUGCAGGGUAUAGACCCGAAACCCGGUGAUCUAGCCAUGGGCAGGUUGAAGGUUGGGUAACACUAACUGGAGGACCGAACCGACUAAUGUUGAAAAAUUAGCGGAUGACCUGUGGCUGGGGGUGAAAGGCCAAUCAAACCGGGAGAUAGCUGGUUCUCCCCGAAAGCUAUUUAGGUAGCGCCUCGUGAACUCAUCUUCGGGGGUAGAGCACUGUUUCGGCUAGGGGGCCAUCCCGGCUUACCAACCCGAUGCAAACUACGAAUACCGAAGAAUGUUAUCACGGGAGACACACGGCGGGUGCUAACGUCCGUCGUGAAGAGGGAAACAACCCAGACCGCCAGCUAAGGUCCCAAAGUCAUGGUUAAGUGGGAAACGAUGUGGGAAGGCACAGACAGCCAGGAUGUUGGCUUAGAAGCAGCCAUCAUUUAAAGAAAGCGUAAUAGCUCACUGGUCGAGUCGGCCUGCGCGGAAGAUGUAACGGGGCUAAACCAUGCACCGAAGCUGCGGCAGCGACACUAUGUGUUGUUGGGUAGGGGAGCGUUCUGUAAGCCGUUGAAGGUGUGCUGUGAGGCAUGCUGGAGGUAUCAGAAGUGCGAAUGCUGACAUAAGUAACGAUAAAGCGGGUGAAAAGCCCGCUCGCCGGAAGACCAAGGGUUCCUGUCCAACGUUAAUCGGGGCAGGGUGAGUCGACCCCUAAGGCGAGGCCGAAAGGCGUAGUCGAUGGGAAACAGGUUAAUAUUCCUGUACUUGGUGUUACUGCGAAGGGGGGACGGAGAAGGCUAUGUCAGCCGGGCGACGGUUGUCCCGGUUUAAGCAUGUAGGCGGA